rnacentral:rRNA from 1 species
ACGGGAGGCAGCAGUGGGGAAUAUUGGGCAAUGGGCGAAAGCCUGACCCAGCAACGCCGCGUGAGUGAAGAAGGUUUUCGGAUUGUAAAGCUCUAUCCUCGGGGACGAAGGAAGUGACGGUACCCGAGAAGGAAGCCCCGGCUAACUACGUGCCAGCAGCCGCGGUAAUACGUAGGGGGCAAGCGUUGUCCGGAAUGAUUGGGCGUAAAGGGCGCGUAGGCGGCCUGUUAAGUCUGGAGUGAAAGUCCUGCUUUUAAGGUGGGAAUUGCUUUGGAUACUGAUGGGCUUGAGUGCAGGAGAGGUAAGUGGAAUUCCCAGUGUAGCGGUGAAAUGCGUAGAGAUUGGGAGGAACACCAGUGGCGAAGGCGACUUACUGGACUGUAACUGACGCUGAGGCGCGAAAGUGUGGGGAGCAAACAGGAUUAGAUACCCUGGUA